rnacentral:snRNA from 1 species
GUGCUCGCUUCAGCAGCACAUAGACUAAAAUAGGAAUGAUACAGAGAAGAUUAGCACAGCCUCUGCACAAGGAUAACACACAAAUUCAUGAAGCGUUCCAUAUUAAA